AUCAACAAGACCAAGGAACUGACUGUGAACUUCACAAAGGGCAAGUUGAGAGAACACAAAUUGAAGGGUCAGCAGUGGAAAGCGAAAGCAGCUUCAAGUUCGUGGGCAUCAACAUCUCAGAAAAUCUAUCCUAGGUCCAACAUAUUGAGGCAAUCAUAAAAAAGAAGAAGAAUCUCAGAGUUGCAUACAGCAUAUAUACUUUGAUAAUAAAUGAACCUUUGAAGAAGUGAAAAGCUAAGGGAACAACGCCAAACUAACCGAUGGCAGCGACUGUAAAUUUGGAACAAUGAGCGGCUGCCCUUUCAACCAGCACCAAGCGACAAUUCUCAUGCACCAAAGUGACCCAGAGUUUGGGUAUCGCUGCAACAAUAGUCUGAACAGCAUCGGAUGAGCCCGAACCGUUCUCCCUUUUACCAUGGAUGUUGCAGCAAAGGAGACCUUCCUGCCCAUUGAGUCUACGUCAUCUCCAAGUACAGCAGUCCUCUUUGGUUGCAUUGCCUGCUCUUUCCACAUAACUCUGAAUAUGGACUUUGUGUUUGUUCAGAUUGUGUCUUUAUUGUAUGAAUUGUGUGUAAUAUAUAUUUAUGCUUUUAUCAUAAAUGCAGCUUCUAUGAUACUGUGUGUGCAUGUGAUGGAACUGCAAGCAAGUUUUGCAUUGUACCUUUGCAUACAUAUACUUGUGACAUUGUCUUCCAUAACUCACCAGGUUUGUAGUGCACUUUACUGCUGCUGAGGAAAGCCAGUUUUCAUGGUAUUUAUACCCUGGGUCCACACGUCUAUGACAAUAAAUUUGAACUUGAAGUUUUAUGUCAUUAUUGGAAAAGAAAAUGUUAACAAAAAUUGUUAUGUGACAUGUCAUUUUUUCCCCUCAGUUUCUGAACACUUUACAGUCAA